GGGUUCACCGGAUAUUGCGGCGGCAAUUUCCGACGAAAUGGGAGAAUUAGGGCUCGUCCUUGACGCUAAGCGUGUGCAGUCGAGCGAGCUCCGAGGUUUAGGGCCCAAGAGAGAAAGAAAGGGGCGGCGCCCUCCGCCGGCCUCGCCGGAGCUUGAAUAAGCGACAACGACGAUCAAAUUUUGAGCGAGAGAGAUGAAUUAAUUAAAAAGUUAAAAUGUGUAGAUUAGCCCCUGAACUCCGAAAAAACGGUGCAGAUCGCCCCCUUGACUAACGGCCCAUAACGGUGUUAAGUCAGAGGGGCCAAUCUGCACCGUUUUUUUGAGUUCGGGGGCCAAUUUGCACACACAGUUAGUAAGGGGACUGAAACGCUAUAAGGGCCUCCAUUUGAGGGGCCUAUCUGCACCUCAACCCAAGAUUAAAUGCAUGUAUAGGUUUACCUGCUCUAUUUUAUUUUUAUUUUUCAAAAAAAUUACAAGAAGUAUCUAAUAUAUAAUCAAAUAAGCAAAACAACCCGUAUGCAGACGAUACCUCUACACCACACAAAGGUGGAAAACUACCCGCACACAGAUGAGAUUGAAUCCAAGACCUCUCACAGAGGAGAGUCUUUGGGUGUUUCAACUUUACAUGCUCUUUUUUUUAAAAUGCACUUACACUUUAUUUGAUAAAAUUAGUGUAUUAGAUUGAAAUUCGGUAGGAUGUUAAAGGAUUUCGAAAGUUUUGGUGUAUUCAAUCCAAACUUUUAAAAGUCCUUUAAAAUCUAGAGGUAUUCAAUCCAGAUUUUUUAAAGUUUUUUAAAAUCAGGUGGUAUUCAACAUUUCAUGGAUUUUAAUAAUUCAUGGAUUCUGAUGGAUUUGUCAAAAAAAUACAAAUGACAAAAUCCGAGCUUUAGACUUGAGAUUUUCGAUAGAUUCCUCUAAACUUCACGCGACUCCACUCGGAUUCUAUGGACUUCGAAAGUCCUUUAAAAUUUAUGGACUUUUUAAAGUGCUUUAAAAUCCUACAUAAUCUCAAUCCAAUACACCCCUAAAUAUGUAUAUGUUCAUUUUAUUAAAAUCAAGUUUAUUGCGAUAAAUGUAUCUAGCUAUGCUUAGUUAUAUAAACGAAUGUCGUACACGCAACUCAAG
rnacentral:lncRNA from 1 species